rnacentral:rRNA from 1 species
GACGAACGCUGGCGGCGUGCCUAAUACAUGCAAGUAGAACGCUGAAGAGAGGAGCUUGCUCUUCUUGGAUGAGUUGCGAACGGGUGAGUAACGCGUAGGUAACCUGCCUUGUAGCGGGGGAUAACUAUUGGAAACGAUAGCUAAUACCGCAUAACAAUGGAUGACACAUGUCAUUUAUUUGAAAGGGGCAAUUGCUCCACUACAAGAUGGACCUGCAUUGUAUUAGCUAGUAGGUGAGGUAACGGCUCACCUAGGCGACGAUACAUAGCCGACCUGAGAGGGUGAUCGGCCACACUGGGACUGAGACACGGCCCAGACUCCUACGGGAGGCAGCAGUAGGGAAUCUUCGGCAAUGGGGGCAACCCUGACCGAGCAACGCCGCGUGAGUGAAGAAGGUUUUCGGAUCGUAAAGCUCUGUUGUAAGUCAAGAACGAGUGUGAGAGUGGAAAGUUCACACUGUGACGGUAGCUUACCAGAAAGGGACGGCUAACUACGUGCCAGCAGCCGCGGUAAUACGUAGGUCCCGAGCGUUGUCCGGAUUUAUUGGGCGUAAAACGAGCGCAGGCGGUUUGAUAAGUCUGAAGUUAAAGGCUGUGGCUCAACCAUAGUUCGCUUUGGAAACUGUCAAACUUGAGUGCAGAAGGGGAGAGUGGAAUUCCAUGUGUAGCGGUGAAAUGCGUAGAUAUAUGGAGGAACACCGGUGGCGAAAGCGGCUCUCUGGUCUGUAACUGACGCUGAGGCUCGAAAGCGUGGGGAGCGAACAGGAUUAGAUACCCUGGUAGUCCACGCCGUAAACGAUGAGUGCUAGGUGUUGGAUCCUUUCCGGGAUUCAGUGCCGCAGCUAACGCAUUAAGCACUCCGCCUGGGGAGUACGACCGCAAGGUUGAAACUCAAAGGAAUUGACGGGGGCCCGCACAAGCGGUGGAGCAUGUGGUUUAAUUCGAAGCAACGCGAAGAACCUUACCAGGUCUUGACAUCCCGAUGCUAUUUCUAGAGAUAGAAAGUUACUUCGGUACAUCGGUGACAGGUGGUGCAUGGUUGUCGUCAGCUCGUGUCGUGAGAUGUUGGGUUAAGUCCCGCAACGAGCGCAACCCCUAUUGUUAGUUGCCAUCAUUCAGUUGGGCACUCUAGCGAGACUGCCGGUAAUAAACCGGAGGAAGGUGGGGAUGACGUCAAAUCAUCAUGCCCCUUAUGACCUGGGCUACACACGUGCUACAAUGGUUGGUACAACGAGUUGCGAGUCGGUGACGGCAAGCUAAUCUCUUAAAGCCAAUCUCAGUUCGGAUUGUAGGCUGCAACUCGCCUACAUGAAGUCGGAAUCGCUAGUAAUCGCGGAUCAGCACGCCGCGGUGAAUACGUUCCCGGGCCU